CGUUCCCGGGUCUUGUACACACCGCCCGUCACACCACGAGAGUUUACAACACCCGAAGUCGGUGGGUAACCGCAAGGAGCCAGCCGCCGAAGGUGGGUAGAUGAUUGGGGUG
rnacentral:rRNA from 1 species